CCUACGGGAGGCAGCAGUGAGGAAUAUUGGACAAUGGACGCAAGUCUGAACCAGCCAUGCCGCGUGCAGGAAGACGGCUCUAUGAGUUGUAAACUGCUUCUGUACGAGGGUAAACGCAGAUAAGCGUAUCUGUAUGAAAGUAUCGUACGAAUAAGGAACGGCUAACUCCGUGCCAGCAGCCGCGGUAAUACGGAGGAUUCAAGCGUUAUCCGGAUUUAUUGGGUUUAAAGGGUGCGUAGGCGGUCGGAUAAGUUAGAGGUGAAAGCCCGGGGCUCAACUCCGGAAUUGCCUCUGAUACUGUUCGGCUAGAGUGUAGGAGCGGUAGGCGGAAUGUAUGGUGUAGCGGUGAAAUGCUUAGAUAUCA
rnacentral:rRNA from 1 species